GAUGAAGAACGUAGCGAAAUGCGAUAAGUAGUGUGAAUUGCAGAAUUCAGUGAAUCAUCGAAUCUUUGAACGCACAUUGCGCCCCUAGGUAUCCCGAGGGGCAUGCCUGUUCGAGCGUCAUUUCACCACUCAAGCCUGGCUUGGUGUUGGGCGACGUCCUCUUUGGGGACGCGCCUCGAAACGCUCGGCGGCGUGGCACCGGCUUUAAGCGUAGCAGAAUCUUUCGCUUUGGAAGUCGGGGCCCCGUCUGCCGGAAGACCUACUCGCAAGGUUGACCUCGGAUCAGGCAGGGAUACCCGCUGAACUUAAGCAUAUCAAUAAGCGGAGGA
rnacentral:misc_RNA from 1 species